rnacentral:tRNA from 1 species
AGAAGUAUGCCCGAAAGAUAAGGACCUCCUUGAUAGGGAGAUAAAUAUGGGUUCAAAUCCCAUCACUUCCU